GCGCGAAACCUCUGCAAUAGGCGAAAGCUUGACAGGGUUACUCUGAGUGAUUCCCGCUAAGGGAAUCUUUUGGCAUCUCUAAAAACGAUGCAGAAUAAGGGGUGGGCAAGUCUGGUGUCAGCCGCCGCGGUAAUACCAGCACCCCGAGUGGUCGGGACGAUUAUUGGGCCUAAAGCAUCCGUAGCUCGUUUUGUAAGUUUUCGGUUAAAUCCAUGCGCUUAACGUAUGGGCUGCCGGGAAUACUGCAUAACUAGGAAGUGGGAGAGGUAGACGGUACUCGGUAGGAAGGGGUAAAAUCCUUUGAUCUAUUGAUGACCACCUGUGGCGAAGGCGGUCUACCAGAACACGUUCGACGGUGAGGGAUGAAAGCUGGGGGAGCAAACCGGAUUAGAUACCCUUGUAGUCCCUGAGCGGGCUGGCAAGGCGCAU
rnacentral:rRNA from 1 species